CCCCAGGUGCCCCAGGAAAACUUGGGGGAGAAUGGGCAUCCCACCCCAGCACUUUCUAGGAAGGAGGGCAGCAUUUUGAAGGGCUGGAAGUAGAGGAAGGAGGUUGCGGGUAGAAGACUCCAUACUUUCUGUGAUGCCUAUUCCUUAGUCAGAGGCGUGGCUUGCCUGGGCCCCUGGGUGCAGCUGCACAGAUUCAAGCAGCCUGAAGGAAAGGUGACUGACAGCUAAUGAUCUGAAAAGAACUUGUCUCAACUCAACGUCAUUCCUGGCAUUAUCGAACAAAGCAAUAAACCUCACAGAAUGGAAGCUACAGUGUCCAGGGCCAGCUCUGCUAAGGUAACCAAAGACAGAGAAGGAGGCAAAAGUGACAGAAGAAGCUCAUGGGAAACCAACAGAAAUGUAAUGGCUUUGGCAGAAAUGCAAUUAUCAAUUGGGAGCUUGAGAUGAAUGUUUUCUCAGUAUCCUAUGCUGAAAACAGGUAGAUACUAAUAUCGAUCUUCAAGGGAGGGCUGUUGAGUUUUGAAUAAGACAAAAACAUGGAAGCAAUCAGCACCAUGCUGGAGAGCCUUUAUAUAACCAAAGAUAUUUUUGGACCAUGAAUUCGGAAAUUCUCGGAGCCACCCAUCAGUGCCUGAGCUUCAGUGAGUCCAUAUCCCAUGUCACCCACGGCAAAGGAGAAUCUAAGACUUCUGAAGAGUUUCUUGCUUCUUUCCUGUGGGGCAGUGACUCCACUUCCCAGCAGUAA
rnacentral:antisense_RNA from 1 species